GACGAACGCUGGCGGCGUGCUUAACACAUGCAAGUCGAACGGAAAGGCCCUGCUUUUGUGGGGUGCUCGAGUGGCGAACGGGUGAGUAACACGUGAGUAACCUGCCCUUGACUUUGGGAUAACUUCAGGAAACUGGGGCUAAUACCGGAUAGGAGCUCCUGCUGCAUGGUGGGGGUUGGAAAGUUUCGGCGGUUGGGGAUGGACUCGCGGCUUAUCAGCUUGUUGGUGGGGUAGUGGCUUACCAAGGCUUUGACGGGUAGCCGGCCUGAGAGGGUGACCGGCCACAUGGGGCUUGGGGAGGCACCAGGGUGGAAUCGGGGGGAAUGGGGGGGAAAUUUUGCAAAAGGGGCGGAGCGUGGGAAGAACGCCCCCGGGGGGGGGAGCACGGCUUGGGGGUUGGAACCGCAUUUCGCUUGUACCGAGCUGUUAUGAAGGGAAAUGGAGAAAAAGCCCCGGCUAAACUAGUG
rnacentral:rRNA from 1 species